rnacentral:rRNA from 1 species
UACGUAGGGUGCAAGCGUUGUCCGGAAUUAUUGGGCGUAAAGAGCUUGUAGGCGGUUUGUCGCGUCUGCUGUGAAAAUCCGGGGCUCAACCCCGGACUUGCAGUGGGUACGGGCAGACUAGAGUGUGGUAGGGGAGACUGGAAUUCCUGGUGUAGCGGUGAAAUGCGCAGAUAUCUGGAGGAACACCGGUGGCGAAGGCGGCAUCCUGGACCGAGACUGACGCUGAGGAGCGAAAGCCAGGGGAGCAAAGCGGGG